CUUUGAGAAGAAGAAAAGAGAGAGAAAAAUCUUUGGAAUCAUGGCAUCUAUAUGCUAGUUUUCCUGCUGUUAGUAGGAGGCCUGAGGCUGCCCAGCUUGACUGAAAUCAAGAGAAAGGAGUGUUGUUCCUGUCAGCCUACCUCAGAGUCCUCGGCCAUUUAAGGAGCAUCAUCGAUCUCAUCAGCCACACUGAGAUAUAAUUGACCAUCGAGAAAGAAAAAAAUCACUGGAAGGCACUUAUUCCCAUCAGAAUGUGACACGGGCAAUGUGUGACCUCCGAGCCAGCCCAUUUUUGCAGAUUCCGCUCUCCCUACCCCUCUCUUGACUUCUGUUUCCUUCUUUGGAAGUGGGCAUGUUCCUAGUGGCCUCUGUCAUCAGGUUAUUGGAAAGAAUCACUAGUUAAUGUUGGGGAAAAGCGUUGGGGAAGAUGACUUACUUGUGCCCUUAAGGAUCAUUCUUCAGAACAAUACGCAGUAUUUUUGUUGAAUGGGCACACUCGGUGCUUGCCCUGAUCUGGGGACUUAGAAACGACCUGAUGCUGGCCAGUUAACACCAGCAGUUAAAGAAACUGCCAUUGUUCUCUCCAAGGAUUGUCUGCAUGGAAAUCUAGCCCUGGCAAUUUGUAAUGAGGCAGGAUGCUUAUUAAUGAUUUUUGGCUUAAUGUAUUAAUGAAUAGAGAUUUAAGGGAUAAAAAGACUUACAAUGUAAUAAGGGAAACUCCAAGAAAGAUUAGGCUCUAAUCAAAAUAAAUUGUGUUCUCAGAUUGAUUUCCAUAAAAUUCAACUCCCUUUUCCCUUUAUUUAUAACCUCAAAGAAAUGUAUUGUGCUAAGCUGAAUUGUAUCACUCAGAAA
rnacentral:lncRNA from 1 species